rnacentral:rRNA from 1 species
CUAGAGUGGAAUAUUCGCGACAAUGGGCGCAAGCCUGAUGCAGCCAUGCCGCGUGAGGGAUGAAGGCCUUCGGGUUGUAAACCUCUUUCGCCAGGGACGAAGAUGACACUACCGGCCCGAAAACCACGGCCUCUUCCGCCACCACCCCGCCGUUAUAAUA